GACGAACGCUGGCGGCGUGCUUAACACAUGCAAGUCGAACGGAAAGGCCCUGCUUUUGUGGGGUGCUCGAGUGGCGAACGGGUGAGUAACACGUGAGUAACCUGCCCUUGACUUUGGGAUAACUUCAGGAAACUGGGGCUAAUACCGGAUAGGAGCUCCUGCUGCAUGGUGGGGGUUGGAAAGUUUCGGCGGUUGGGGAUGGACUCGCGGCUUAUCAGCUUGUUGGUGGGGUAGUGGCUUACCAAGGCUUUGACGGGUAGCCGGCCUGAGAGGGUGACCGGCCACAUGGGGACUGAGAUACGGCCCAGACUCCUACGGGAGGCAGCAGGGGGGAAUAUUGCACAAGGGGCGGAAGCCUGAUGCAGCAACGCCGCGUGCGGGAUGACGGCCUUCGGGUUGUAAACCGCUUUCGCCUGUGACGAAGCGUGAGUGACGGGAAUGGGGAAAGAAGCACCGGCUAACUACGU
rnacentral:rRNA from 1 species